rfam:Metallosphaera sedula DSM 5348, complete genome.
GGGCCGGUAGCUCAGCCUGGAAGAGUGCCUGGUUCGCACCCAGGAGGUCCCGGGUUCAAAUCCCGGCCGGUCCA